rnacentral:rRNA from 1 species
GGAUUAGGCAUGCAAGUCGAACGAGGGUAUAUUCUUCGGAAUAUAAAUCGAGUGGCGAAAGGGUGAGUAAUGCAUAGAUGACAUACCUUUAGGAUAAGAAUAGCUUUGUGAAAACGGAGAUAAUGCUUAAUAAUUACGAAGAGGAAUAAAUUUCCUUCGUCAAAGGGGGGGCAGCAAUGCCUCUUGCCUAGAGAGUGGUUUAUGUCCUAUCAGCUAGUUGGUGGGGUAAUGGCCUACCAAGGCUAAGACGGGUAGCCGGCCUUAGAGGGUGGUCGGCCACACUGGGACUGAGACACUGCCCAGACUCCUACGGGAGGCUGCAGUCCGAGAAUCUUUCGCAAUGCCCGAAAGG